CAUUCAUCUCAUUUGCGCCUCACGCCUCUCGCUCCUCACCUCACCUUGUCAUCCAGACACCAUCUCCGCCUCACCUCAAACCUCUCAUCCAGACACCACCGCCGAAGUCUCUUUGUCUCCGACACUCUGCCUCUCACCCCUAUGGUGUUCUGACCCUCUCAGCCACUCCGAUCCGGCUCCGCCACUUCACCCUUUUCGCGAGACAGUGACUUCGACUCCUUCUCAGGUUCUCACCGUCGACUCUCGCCUACCGGAAACCCUAGAUCCAGAGAUAUGCCCUUAGCUUCUUCAGUGACUAGCCAUGAAAAUCUAACAGGAGUGACAGGGUGAAAUGAGAAUGUAUGGUUCUGCGGUUUUUAAGACAUCAUUUGGGAGAUAAGGUAUGU